ensembl:snRNA U6 U6 spliceosomal RNA
GUGCUUGCUUCCAAGCACAUAUACUAAAAUUGGAGGGAUACAGGGAAGAUUAGCAAGGCCCCUGCCCAAGAAUGCAAAUUCAUAAAGCAUUCCAUAUUUUU